rnacentral:rRNA from 1 species
AGGGCACCACCAGGAGUGGAGCCUGCGGCUUAAUUUGACUCAACACGGGAAAACUCACCCGGCCCGGACACUGGAAGGAUUGACAGAUUGAGAGCUCUUUCUUGAUUCAGUGGGUGGUGGUGCAUGGCCGUUCUUAGUUGGUGGAGUGAUUUGUCUGGUUAAUUCCGAUAACGAACGAGACUCUAGCCUACUAAAUAGAUCGUCGGCUUACAAACGCCGACGAGACUUCUUAGAGGGACAGGCGGCGAUUCAGCCGCACGAAACAGAGCAAUAACAGGUCUGUGAUGCCCUUAGAUGUCCGGGGCCGCACGCGCGCUACACUGAAGUGAUCAGCGUGCUUUUUCAACCUACUCUGUCAAGAGUGGGGAACCCAAUGAACCUUCUUCGUGAUUGGGAUAGGGGAUUGUAAUUAUUCCCCUUGAACGAGGAAUUCCCAGUAAGCGCGAGUCAUAAGCUCGCGUUGAUUACGUCCCUGCCCUUUGUACACACCGCCCGUCGCUACUACCGAUUGAAUGUUUU